rnacentral:rRNA from 1 species
AUGGACAUGGUUGGAGAAGGUAACAACUCCCCAUCUACCUAUAUCCCUCCAGUUACUUGGUUAGAAUUAGCAGGUUGCAGUUUAACAAGAUUCCCAAGUUCAUUGGCACACCUUAACCAAAUGUCUUACUUGGACCUGUCAUGCAAUAGAAUCAGUGGGGCUAUUCCAAAGUGGAUAUGGGUGACAUGGAGUAGUAGCCUUGCAUAUUUGAAUCUUUCACACAACAUGCUCAACAGUAUGCAACUUAAUUCAUAUGUUCUCCCUUUUGAUCGGUUGGAAGUUCUUGAUCUCAGCUCCAAUCAGCUUCAGGGGCAGAUUCCUAUGCCAAGCCCCCCUGCAGCUAUCUUACGUUAUUCAAACAACAGUUUCUCUUCAAUUCUUCGAAACUUCACUCUCUAUCUUGGGAAUGAGUUCAGAAUUUCUAAAAACAAUAUUAGUGGGCAUAUACCUAACUCAGUUUGUGAUUCCAGUAUCAGCCUCCUUGACCUAUCAUUUAACAACUUCAGUGGGUGGAUACCACCCUGUCUAAUAGAAGAUGGUUACAUGAGCGCGUUGAUUUUGCGGGAGAAUCAAUUUGAAGGUGUGUUGCCUAACAACAUCAAAGACCAAUGCCAGCUUCUUACGUUAGACUUGAACAACAAUAAGAUUGUAGGGCAGCUUCCAAGGACACUUACCAAGUGUUUGCAGUUGGAGUUCCUUGACUGUGGAAAUAACCACAUGGCUGAUACUUUUCCAUCAUGGCUUGGGAAGCUUCCCGAACUUUGGGUCCUUGUCUUGAGAUCCAACCAAUUCUAUGGCUCGAUGGGUGGUGAUCUUCACAGAGUUUACAAAUAUGGAGAAUACUUCUCUAGCUUGCAGAUUCUUGAUCUUGCCUCGAACAAAUUUUCUGGCAAAUUGAGUCCAAAAUGGUUUGAGGGGUUGAAAUCAAUGAUGGCAGAGUCCAAUACCACAGGUGAAAUUGUCAUAGCUGACAAUGGGACAUUGACAUUCUAUCAAGAUACUGUGGCGAUAACAUAUAAAAGCAUCUAUAGGUCAUUUGUUAAGAUCCUGACUACUUUGACCGUAAUUGACCUUUCAAAUAACUCAUUUGAGGGAACCAUUCCUGAAUCACUUGGGAGACUUGUUUCACUACUUGCACUAAACAUGUCAGGCAAUGCCUUCACCGGUGAUAUUCCGCGGGAAUUUGGCAGGAUGAGUCAGCUAGAAGCACUAGACCUGUCCCAGAACCAGCUUUCUGGUGAUAUUCCAGAGGCGCUAACAAAUCUCACCUUUCUUGGUUUCUUGAACUUGUCCAACAACCAGUUGGUGGGAAGGAUACCUUGGUCAGGUCAGUUUUUUGGGACGUCCCAAAACAGUUCAUUUGAAGGGAAUCUGGGUCUGUGUGGACCGCCACUGUCCAACCCAUGCGACAUUGCACCCGCUCCUCGAAGUGUGGCGCAUGGGGAGAAGUCCUCCCAUGUGGACGUCAUCUUGUUUCUCUUUGUCGGGCUGGGCUUUGGCAUUGGAUUUGCAGCUGCCAUCCUGAUGAGAUGGGGUCGGAUCGGCGAAUGGUUUGUGAAAUCUGCAAGAGCUUUGAGGACUUGA